rnacentral:lncRNA from 1 species
UUCACAGCACAUCAGAAUCCGUGUGAGGAUGAGGAUCCACGGGAGCAAGAGGCCCCCAGGACAUGGUGUGUCAUAAUCCACAACAAUGCCCAGAAGCUGAUCCGACUCUGUGACCCGCUACAGAAAGGGAAGGAUGCUGCCUUCUCCCUUGGACAGUGUCUCUAGCACCUCCACACCCAGGAAGAACCUGCUGGUGAUGCCUCCUGGGCCCAGAGACACAGAGAGGAGCUGGUGGAGGGCUGCAGGCUGGCCAAACACCUUGUCCUCCAGCUCCACGCAGCAAACUGGAAACAAGACAGAUGAGGACGAGAAAGAGCCACUUUACCAAAUGGACGAUCGGAGCAGCAAUUUCAACCUCCUGAUUCAGUUUCAAGCCCGAGAGCUGACCCAGUUAAGGAAGAAGUUGGAAGAAGGAAGAAAUGUCACAUUCAUCCUCCACAAAAAUCUCAAAGACCUGAUCACUGAGAAUGACUUGGAUGAACCCCAAGGGCAGAGCCUCCUACAGCUGGCAGAGUGGUACAAGCUGGCUGAGAGCCUGAGCCUCAAUCUCGGCCCAGAGCAGCACUGUGAUGGGGAUGAUGAGGAAGAAACAGAGUCCCUGGACUCCAGUGGUGAGCAGCAGGAUGGGAAAGUGGAUGAACUCCUGUCAGAUUCAGUAGAAGAACACUGCCCCCUCGCUUCUGGGCAUCCUGAUGCACCUUACCAAUGGCAACAUCACAUCCGCGCUGCCGGCCUGCAGAGGAGCCUGAAGCAAGUUCUGUGCCCGAUGGAACCAAACCUGAAGGCAUCCGCAAACCACAGGAGGAGCAGGCAACUGAGCUGCGCAGGGAUUUCAGUUCUGUGAUGGAACUUCUGGCCCAGAUGUCGACCAACUUGGGGGAAACUUUCCACAGUUAGAAGGAUAUCAUCUUCUUCCUCUGUCACAGCAUUAGGAACCUGCGGUCCCGGGAUGGCCCUGUGAGACAAGAGGGGCAGAGUCACCGAGACCAUGCUGAGAGGCACAAGAUGACUGAGCCCCUCGCCCUCCAGCCCUGCCCAGGACGGGGCUCCUGGGGAACAGCCGCAUCACUCAGCAUCCUCACGGG